GGUAUAGCAUUAUACCGUGAAACUGCGAAUGGCUCAUUAAAUCAGUUAUCGUUUAUUUGAUAAUACCUUACUACUUGGAUAACCGUGGUAAUUCUAGAGCUAAUACAUGCUGAAAAUCCCGACUUCGGAAGGGAUGUGUUUAUUAGAUAAAAAACCAAUGCCCUUCGGGGCUUUUUGGUGAUUCAUGAUAACUUUACGGAUCGCAUAGCCUUGCGCUGGCGACGGUUCAUUCAAAUUUCUGCCCUAUCAACUUUCGAUGGUAAGGUAUUGGCUUACCAUGGUUUCAACGGGUAACGGGGAAUUAGGGUUCGAUUCCGGAGAGGGAGCCUGAGAAACGGCUACCACAUCCAAGGAAGGCAGCAGGCGCGCAAAUUACCCAAUCCCGACACGGGGAGGUAGUGACAAUAAAUACUGAUACAGGGCUCUUUUGGGUCUUGUAAUUGGAAUGAGUACAAUUUAAACCUCUUAACGAGGAACAAUUGGAGGGCAAGUCUGGUGCCAGCAGCCGCGGUAAUUCCAGCUCCAAUAGCGUAUAUUAAAGUUGUUGCAGUUAAAAAGCUCGUAGUUGAAACUUGGGCCUGGCUGGCGGGUCCGCCUCACCGCGUGCACUCGUCCGGCCGGGCCUUCCUUCUGAAGAACCUCAUGCCCUUCACUGGGCGUGCUGGGGAAUCAGGACUUUUACUUUGAAAAAAUUAGAGUGUUCAAAGCAGGCCUUUGCUCGAAUACGUUAGCAUGGAAUAAUAAAAUAGGGCGUGCGUUUCUAUUUUGUUGGUUUCUAGAGACGCCGCAAUGAUUAACAGGAACAGUCGGGGGCAUCAGUAUUCAGUUGUCAGAGGUGAAAUUCUUGGAUUUACUGAAGACUAACUACUGCGAAAGCAUUUGCCAAGGAUGUUUUCAUUAAUCAGUGAACGAAAGUUAGGGGAUCGAAGACGAUCAGAUACCGUCGUAGUCUUAACCGUAAACUAUGCCGACUAGGGAUCGGGCGAUGUUCUUUUUCUGACUCGCUCGGCACCUUACGAGAAAUCAAAGUUUUUGGGUC
rnacentral:rRNA from 1 species